UACGGGGGGGGCAAGCGUUGUUCGGAAUUACUGGGCGUAAAGGGCUCGUAGGUGGCCAACUAAGUCAGACGUGAAAUCCCUCGGCUUAGCCGGGGAACUGCGUCUGAUACUGGAUGGCUUGAGUUUGGGAGAGGGACGCGGAAUUCCAGGUGUAGCGGUGAAAUGCGUAGAUAUCUGGAGGAACACCGGUGGCGAAGGCGGCGUCCUGGACCAACACUGACACUGAUGAGCGAAAGCCAGGGGAGCAAACGGG
rnacentral:rRNA from 1 species